GAUGAACGCUGGCGGCGUGCCUAAUACAUGCAAGUCGAGCGAAUGGAUUAAGAGCUUGCUCUUAUGAAGUUAGCGGCGGACGGGUGAGUAACACGUGGGUAACCUGCCCAUAAGACUGGGAUAACUCCGGGAAACCGGGGCUAAUACCGGAUAACAUUUUGAACCGCAUGGUUCGAAAUUGAAAGGCGGCUUCGGCUGUCACUUAUGGAUGGACCCGCGUCGCAUUAGCUAGUUGGGGAGGUAACGGCUCACCAAGGCAACGAUGCGUAGCCGGCCUGAGAGGGUGAUCGGCCGCACUGGGACUGAGACACGGCCCAGACUCCGACGGGAGGCAGCAGUAGGGAAUCUUCCGCAAUGGACGAAAGUCUGACGGAGCAACGCCGCGUGAGUGAUGAAGGCUUUCGGGUCGUAAAACUCUGUUGUUAGGGAAGAACAAGUGCUAGUUGAAUAAGCUGACACCUUGACGGUACCAACCAGAAAGCCACGGCUAACUACGUGCCAGCCGCCGCAGUAA
rnacentral:rRNA from 1 species